rnacentral:rRNA from 1 species
AACGAACGCUGGUGGCAUGCCUAACACAUGCAAGUCGAACGAGACCGGCGGGUCCUGGUGCGCACGGGUGGGUCAGCCAACGGAAGCUGCACGUAUGUUCGGAAUACCUCCCCGAAAGGGGUGCUAAUACGGGACAAUUUCUUCUACCCCAUGAUUUAUCGCCUUUGAAUGGGCCCGCGUGGGAUUUGCUAUUUGGUAACGUAAAAGCCUACCGAGGCGACGUUCCAUAGCUGGUCUGAGAGCAUGACCCGCCACCCUGGGAGUGAGACCCGGCGCAGACUCCUACGGAAGGCAGCAAUGGUGACUAUUGAACACUGCGCGAGAGCAUGAGCCAUCCAUGCCGCGUGAGUGAUGUGGGCGUGAGGGUUGUAAAGCUGUGUUGACCGCGAUGAUAGUGACGGUACCUGCAGAGUAAGCGCCGGCUAACUACGUG